CCCUUCGGGGUGUGACUGCGUACCUUUUGUAUAAUGGGUCAGCGACUUAUAUUCUGUAGCAAGGUUAACCGUAUAGGGGAGCCGGAGGGAAACCGAGUCUUAACCGGGCGUUAAGUUGCAGGGUAUAGACCCGAAACCCGGUGAUCUAGCCAUGGGCAGGUUGAAGGUUGGGUAACACUAACUGGAGGACCGAACCGACUAAUGUUGAAAAAUUAGCGGAUGACCUGUGGCUGGGGGUGAAAGGCCAAUCAAACCGGGAGAUAGCUGGUUCUCCCCGAAAGCUAUUUAGGUAGCGCCUCGUGAAUUCAUCUCCGGGGGUAGAGCACUGUUUCGGCUAGGGGGCCAUCCCGGCUUACCAACCCGAUGCAAACUGCGAAUACCGGAGAAUGUUAUCACGGGAGACACACGGCGGGUGCUAACGUCCGUCGUGAAGAGGGAAACAACCCAGACCGCCAGCUAAGGUCCCAAAGUCAUGGUUAAGUGGGAAACGAUGUGGGAAGGCCCAGACAGCCAGGAUGUUGGCUUAGAAGCAGCCAUCAUUUAAAGAAAGCGUAAUAGCUCACUGGUCGAGUCGGCCUGCGCGGAAGAUGUAACGGGGCUAAACCAUGCACCGAAGCUGCGGCAGCGAACGUAUCACCCAAGACAACUUUACGGAGUUGACGAUUGACGGAGCGAAGCGACGUCAAAGCGUUCAUUAAAGUCGAGUUGGCUUAGGGAUACGUUCGUUGGGUAGGGGAGCGUUCUGUAAGCCUGUGAAGGUGUGUCGUGAGGCAUGCUGGAGGUAUCAGAAGUGCGAAUGCUGACAUAAGUAACGAUAAAGCGGGUGAAAAGCCCGCUCGCCGGAAGACCAAGGGUUCCUGUCCAACGUUAAUCGGGGCAGGGUGAGUCGACCCCUAAGGCGAGGCCGAAAGGCGUAGUCGAUGGGAAACGGGUUAAUAUUCCCGUACUUGGUGUUACUGCGAAGGGGGGACGGAGAAGGCUAUGUUGGCCGGGCGACGGUUGUCCCGGUUUAAGCGUGUAGGUGUGUGUUCCAGGUAAAUCCGGUUCACUUUAACACUGAGGCGUGACGACGAGGCACUACGGUGCUGAAGCAACAAAUGCCCUGCUUCCAGGAAAA
rnacentral:rRNA from 2 species